AGAGGUCCCAAGCGUUGUUCGGAUUUACUGGGCGUAAAGGGAGCGUAGGUGGCUUGUUAAGUCUGGUGUGAAAUCUCUGAGCUUAACUCAGAAACUGCACCAGAUACUACCAAGCUUGAGUGUUGGAGGGGAGAUUGGAAUUCUCAGUGUAGCAGUGAAAUGCGUAGAUAUCGAGAGGAACACCAGUGGCGAAGGCGAGUCCUCUGGACAACAACUGACACUGAUGCUCGAAAGCUAGGGGAUCAAACGGGAUUAGAUACCCCGGUAGUCCUAGCUGUAAACGGUGCACGCUUGCUGUAAGCGGAAUUAACCCCGCUUGUGGCGUAGCUAACGCGAUAAGCGUGCCGCCUGGGAAGUACGGUCGCAAGAUUA
rnacentral:rRNA from 1 species